UAUUUUGAAUUGACAUAGACCAAGUCCUCUAGUAAAAUGAGGAUGAUGCAUCGGGAAUAGCC
rnacentral:tRNA from 2 species